rnacentral:other from 1 species
AACCGCAUGAAAUCAGGCUUUUUCUCUGUGAAUAGAAAGUUAAGGAAAUGUUAAUACUCGAAUUUUCUAAAUAUUUGGCCAACAUGAAGAAGUUUCAUUGACAGGGGAGUAAAGGGGAUGAUAUAUUCGAAAUGCAGUAGGGAAAUGUUAGCAGUUAUUUGAUAACGAAGGGAAUGUUUUGCAUGCAAGGUAAAGUAAAAUGGUUUAACGCAGAAAAAGGCUAUGGCUUCAUCGAGCGCGAAGACGGCGGCGACGUAUUCGUACACUUCUCCGCGAUUCAAACAGAAGGCUUCAAGACUUUGGAAGAAGGCCAGUCUGUUGAAUUCGACAUCGUAGAAGGCGCUCGCGGUCCUCAAGCGGCUAACGUAAUCAAGCUGUAAUCAUCCGGCCGCUUGGCCGCUGAAUAGAUGGUUAUCAUUGAUAUGAAUUAGCAGCAAAAGGCACCCCCGGUACUCCGGCGGUGUCUUUU